CCCCUGGUUUCUACGUAUUUUUAUCAACUCUGAAUUUUUCUGAUAAGUCCUUCACGUUUUUUCUUAGAUCCAAGGUCUAUAUACAAAAUGUGUUUUCUAACUAUGGCCUAUGGAAAAGAACACCCCAUUUUUGUCUUUUUGUGUUACAGAUUUCUCUUGUACAAUUUCUCCUUGAAAAUUGCCUCAGGAUAUUUGGCGAAGACAUCACUUCCUUCUUGGGAGAGAAGUCAAUGAGUCGUGACUCCGGCCAGAAAACUGUGAAAAGCUGUUCCUUCAGAGACAGGGCCUUUUGGUGGGGCUCCAGCACUUGCCAGCAAAACCAGUGCACAGCCCCACAUUCUGCAAAGCCAGGAGAGCUCUUUGGAGUUUGCCUCAUGGUUGUGUGUUAUAAAGACAACCUGGCCUUCCCAAUUCUGGCUAUGCUUUCCUUUAUUAAUCAAAAAGGGCCCAUCACAGAAGGCAUAUUCAGAAACUCAGCCAAUAUAAAAUCCUGCCAUGUCCUAAAGGAGAAACUAAAUUCUGGGGUCAAAGUGAACCCGUACAGCGAAUCUGUUCAUGUGGUCGCAUCCG